UCCGGUUGAUCCUGCCGGACCCCACUGCUAUCGGGGUGAGACUAAGCCAUGCUAGUUGAGCGCCUCUAAGCCACGUUAGAGGAGCAGCACACGGCUCAGUAACACACGGUUAACCUAGCCUCGAGACGGAGACACCCCCGGGAAACUGGGGCUAAUCUCCGAUAGGUGAGGAGGCUUGGAACGGUUCCUCGCCGAAAGGGGAUGCAGGCCAUGCUUCUGCAUCCCGCUCAAGGAUGGGACCAUGCCCGAUCAGGCUGUUGGCGGGGUAACGGCCCACCAAACCGAUAACCGGUACGGGCCGUGAGAGCGGGAGCCCGGAGAUGGACACUGAGACAAGGGUCCAGGCCCUAUGGGGCGCAGCAGGCGCGAAAACUCCGCAAUGCGCGAAAGCGUGACGGGGUCACCCCGAGUGUCACCUGUUGAAGGUGACUUUUCUCCAGUGUACAAAGCUGGAGGAAUAAGGGGAGGGCAAGCCUGGUGUCAGCCGCCGCGGUAAUACCAGCUCCCCGAGUAGUGGGGGCGAUUAUUGGGCCUAAAGCGUCCGUAGCCGGCUCGGUAAGUUUCCCGUUAAAUCCGACGACUCAAUCGUUGGGCUGCGGGAAAUACUGCCAAGCUAGGAGGCGGGAGAGGCCGGCGGUACUUUCGGGGUAGGGGUGAAAUCCUAUAAUCCCGAAAGGACCACCAGUGGCGAAGGCGGCCGGCCAGAACGCGCUCGACGGUGAGGGACGAAAGCUGGGGGAGCGAACCGGAUUAGAUACCCGGGUAGUCCCAGCUGUAAACGAUGCGGGCUAAGUGUCGGGAUGGCUAUAAUGCCAUCUCGGUGCUGCAGGGAAGCCGUUAAGCCCGCCGCCUGGGGAGUACGGCCGCAAGGCUGAAACUUAAAGGAAUUGGCGGGGGAGCACCACAAGGGGUGAAGCUUGCGGUUUAAUUGGAGUCAACGCCGGAAAUCUCACCGGGGGAGACAGCUGGAUGAAAGCCAGAUUGAAGGUCUUGCUGGACUAGCUGAGAGGAGGUGCAUGGCCGUCGCCAGUUCGUGCCGUGAGGUAUCCCGUUAAGUCGGGCAACGAGCGAGACCCACACCCCUAGUUGCCAGUGGCGCUGGGAAACCGGUCCAGGCACUCUAGGGGGACCGCCGCCGAUAAGGCGGAGGAAGGAGUGGGCCACGGCAGGUCAGUAUGCCCUGAAUCCCUCGGGCCACACGUGAGCUGCAAUGGUAGGGACAAUGGGUUCCGACCCCGAAAGGGGAAGGUAAUCCCGAAACCCUACCUCAGUUGGGAUCGAGGGCUGAAACCCGUCCUCGUGAACAUGGAAUCCCUAGUAAUCGCGUGUCAUCAGCGCGCGGUGAAUACGUCCCUGCUCCUUGCACACACCGCCCGUCGCUCCAACCGAGUUGGGCUUGGAUGAGGGAUGGUCUUGUUGGCCAUUUCGAAUCCAAACUCAGCAAGGGGGGAGAAGUCGUAACAAGGUAACCGU
rnacentral:rRNA from 1 species